CCUACGGGUGGCAGCAGUGAGGAAUAUUGGUCAAUGGACGAGAGUCUGAACCAGCAAAGCAGCGUGAAGGAUGACUGCCCUAUGGGUUGUAAACUUCGUUUAUAUGGGAAUAAAAUGUUCCACGUGUGGGAGUUUGUAUGUACCAUAUGAAUAAGGAUCGGCUAACUCCGUGCCAGCAGCCGCGGUAAUACGGAGGAUCCGAGCGUUAUCCGGAUUUAUUGGGUUUAAAGGGAGCGUAGGUGGAUUGUUAAGUCAGUUGUGAAAGUUUGCGGCUCAACCGUAAAAUUGCAGUUGAAACUGGCAGUCUUGAGUACAGUAGAGGUGAGCGGAAUUCGUGGUGUAGCGGUGAAAUGCUUAGAUAUCACGAAGAACUCCGAUUGCGAAGGCAGCUCACUGGACUGCAACUGACACUGAGGCUCGAAAGUGUGGGUAUCAAACAGGAUUAGAUACCCGGGUAGUC
rnacentral:rRNA from 1 species